AUGUAUGACGGCAAUUUAGUCUUCAUGUCCUGGAACGUCAGAGGUUUGAACUGUCCGGCGAAGCGCACGGUUGUCAGCGACGUAGUUUCUUCUCAUAGAGUAGCGGUGUUAUGCCUACAUGAAACCAAAAUUGAUUCUUGGACGACGGCGGUAGCUUGUGAGAUAGGCGGCAGUAGAUUACAGGGAUGUGUAGUGCUGCCUACGAUCGGGACUAGAGGUGGAGCGGCGAUUUUCUGGGAUAAAGAUGUAGUCGACGUAGUUUCUCACUAUUUGGGUGGCUUUUCCAUCAUGGCAAAAGUGCGUGAACUGAGCUCGGGGCAGCAUUUUUGUAUGACCACCGUCUAUGGCCCGACAGACAACGCGCAGAAAGAGAAUUUUCUUGCGGAAAUAGCUGUUUCUGCCCCUCCUUCUGGUGAACCGUGGAUGAUCAACGGGGAUUUCAAUAUGAUCUAUCAAGCUAGAGACAAGAGCAAUCCAAACAUAAACAUGAGAAUGAUGGGAAAAUUCCGCAGAGCCAUAGACCAAGCUAUACUCAAGGAGAUCAAGUGCAAAAAUCGGCGUUUCACAUGGAGUAAUGAAAGGGAAAACCCUACCCUCUGUAGCAUUGACAAAGUGUUCUGCAACGCGGGCUGGGAAGAUUUGCACCCCGAUCAUCUGUUGUUUGCUGCCUCAACAUCGUUCUCCGACCACUGUCCUCUGGUGCUCGCUGCAGUGGACACGCCAGCACGAAAAGCUAGGUUCAGGUUCGAAAAUUUCUAG
rnacentral:rRNA from 1 species